GCCGGAGUGGUGAAAUUGGUAGACGCAGGGGACUCAAAAUCCCCCGGGGUAAAACCCGUGCCGGUUCGAUUCCGGCCUCCGGCA
rnacentral:tRNA from 1 species